AGUGAACGCUGGCGGUAGGCCUAACACAUGCAAGUCGAACGGCAGCACAGUAAGAGCUUGCUCUUACGGGUGGCGAGUGGCGGACGGGUGAGGAAUACAUCGGAAUCUACUUUUUCGUGGGGGAUAACGUAGGGAAACUUACGCUAAUACCGCAUACGACCUACGGGUGAAAGCAGGGGAUCUUCGGACCUUGCGCGAUUGAAUGAGCCGAUGUCGGAUUAGCUAGUUGGCGGGGUAAAGGCCCACCAAGGCGACGAUCCGUAGCUGGUCUGAGAGGAUGAUCAGCCACACUGGAAGUGAGACACGGUCCAGACUCCUACGGGAGGACGCAGUGGGGAAUAUUGGACAAUGGGCGCAAGUCUGAUCCAGCCAUACCGCGUGGGUGAAGAAGGCCUUCGGGUUGUAAAGCCCUUUUGUUCGGAAAGAAAAGCAGCAGGUUAAUACCCCGCUGUUCUGACGGUACCCAAAGAAUAAGCACCGGCUAACUUCGUG
rnacentral:rRNA from 1 species